AUUGAACGCUGGCGGCAGGCCUAACACAUGCAAGUCGAGCGAGCGGCGGACGGGUGAGUAAUGUCUGGGAAACUGCCUGAUGGAGGGGGAUAACUACUGGAAACGGUAGCUAAUACCGCAUACCAUCGGAUGUGCCCAGAUGGGCUUCGCUAGUAGGUGGGGUAACGGCUCACCUAGGCGACGAACCCUAGCUGGUCUGAGAGGAUGACCAGCCACACUGGAACUGAGACACGGUCCAGACUCCUACGGGAGGCAGCAGUGGGGAAUAUUGCACAAUGGGCGAAAGCCUGAUGCAGCAAUGCCGCGUGUGUGAAGAAGGCCUUCGGGUUGUAAAGCACUGUCAGCGGGGAGGCGGUACCCGAAGAAGAAGCACCGGCUAACUCCGUGCCAGCAGCCGCGGUAAUUC
rnacentral:rRNA from 1 species